rnacentral:rRNA from 1 species
UACGAAGGGUGCAAGCGUUACUCGGAAUCACUGGGCGUAAAGCGUGCGUAGGCGGUUCGUUAAGUCUGCUGUGAAAGCCCUGGGCUCAACCUGGGAACUGCAGUGGAUACUGGCGGACUAGAGUGUGAUAGAGGAUGGUGGAAUUCCCGGUGUAGCGGUGAAAUACGUAGAGAUCGGGAGGAACACCAGUGGCGAAGGCGGCCAUCUGGAUCAACACUGACGCUGAGGCACGAAAGCGUGGGGAGCAAACAGG